rnacentral:rRNA from 1 species
UAAUACGUAGGGUGCGAGCGUUAAUCGGAAUUACUGGGCGUAAAGCGUGCGCAGGUGGUCAUGUAAGACAGAUGUGAAAUCCCCGGGCUUAACCUGGGAAUUGCAUUUGUGACUGCAUGGCUAGAGUGUGGCAGAGGGGGAUGGAAUUCCGCGUGUAGCAGUGAAAUGCGUAGAUAUGCGGAGGAACACCGAUGGCGAAGGCAGUCCCCUGGGCCUGCACUGACACUCAAGCACGAAAGCGUGGGGAGCAAACAGGAUUAGAUACCCUGGUAGUCCACGCCCUAAACGAUGUCGACUGGUUGUUGGGAGGGUUCCCUCUCAGUAACGAAGCUAACGCGUGAAGUCGACCGCCUGGGGAGUACGGCCGCAAGGUUG